rfam:Clostridium beijerinckii NCIMB 8052, complete genome.
UUAAAAACUGUGAAGAGGAAGAGUACAUAUAUUACUGAAAUAAAGAGAGAGAAUAAUUGCUGGAAAUUCUCAUGAUGUAUAUAUGGAAUGUAGCCUUGGAGUUUUUAAUCGAAAUCUUAAUUGUUAGAGAGUAGAAUUAAACGGAUUGUCUACCGUUAAAAGGACAAUAAUAUCGGUUCUUUAACCCGUAUUAUUAAUAAGUGUGUAUUUGAUUAUACAAAAUUAGGUGGUACCGCGGUGAUUAUCUCUUCGUCCUAUAA